rnacentral:rRNA from 1 species
UACGUAGGGGGCAAGCGUUGUCCGGAAUCAUUGGGCGUAAAGAGCGUGUAGGCGGUCCGGUCAGUCGGUUGUGAAAGUCAAGGGCUCAACCCUUGAAUGCCGGCCGAUACUGCCGGGCUAGAGUCCGGAAGAGGUGAGUGGAAUUCCUGGUGUAGCGGUGAAAUGCGCAGAUAUCAGGAGGAACACCAAUGGCGAAGGCAGCACUCUGGGACGUGACUGACGCUGAGACGCGAAAGCGUGGGGAGCAAACAGG